UGCGUACAGUAUUCUACCUUUAAGAUGCUUUUGGGAAACCUGACCCAGGCUCUUUUGGAGCCUCAAUCUGCCUUAAUUGCUUUGCAGAAAGCCUUCACUGAACUGAAAUUGGUUCUUAAUGCAGACAGACGUACGCGAUAUCAGACCCAGUCUCGGGGAUGGCUAACUCUAGAGAUCCCUUCAAUCUCCACUGAGUUAAGUAAAUCUGCUUUUAGUCUUUUUGCACCUUGUGUGGAAAAAUCUCAAACAUUUGAUGAAUUGGUGUCUCUAGGGUAGGGGUAGGCAACCCUGUUCUGGGAGAGCAGCAGAUACAGCAGGAUUUUGUCCCAUCUAGGCACCCCACCUGACCGUCUGAGCUUAUUGAUCAGUGCAGUGAUUGUCUAAAUACAACACACUUGGUCUUCCAGGUCAGUUAAAUCCAACACAUGAAGUUCCUGCGGCUCUCUCCAAGACCCAGGUUGCUUGCUCUAGGGCAAAAGGCUGAUUACCUCUUUACUGAAUAAUGCAUUUGUUUUUUUUAUGAUUGUGUUUUGCUUUUAGUGUAUUCAUGUGAAUAUUGAUGUAAUAAUAGAUUACAUUUGUAAAGCCCUUUUCAUUAUAAAGAAUAAUCUCAAAGAGCAUAAAACAAAUAUAAUUAUAAAAUGUAUACAACUAGACCGGGCAAAUGACACAAAGAACCCAGUUGACGCUCCAAGGGACAAGGACACCAUGGAGCACAGCUAUCAACAGAAACCUUCCUAAAGAGAAAGGUCGUUAGGCCCUAUUUAAAGGAGCCCAGAGUCUGUGGUGCCUUUAGGUGGUCCAGGAAGGCAUUCCAGAGGCUGGGGUCAUGAUGUGUACGAUUGAUGUGCAUAGUGUAUAUUUAUGUGUUUUGCAGGGCUCAUCUGAGAAAAAAAGACAGUGUUCCUAAUUCUAUGGGCAAUUCUUGCAUGGAGAUAUUGUUCUAUACUUUUAUGGAAUCUUCCUGAAAUUGAUGUGUCACAAUGUCACUAUGGGAGCAUCAUCGCGUUUACUGUUGAAGUAGUAGCAUGUUGGUUUCAGUUGACAUUCAGUAGAAUCAGUUUACUGGCAAAUAAGAAGUAUUUUUGCUCACCAGUCAUGGAAAUCCUCUGCUCUCUUUUAGAUGUCCAGGCACGCUUUCCCUCUCGGAGGGUCGAUUCUAUUUGCCAACCUGUUUCAUCAAGGGUGACUCUCUGCAGACGCGGUCUCAGCCUCUUGAUCUUCUACAUCAUCUACAUGAUAGGAAUGAUCCUGGUGUUUGGUGUGGCCCCUUUGGUGGUUAGUCUGUUCAGUGUGUUCAGUCUAAUCAAGCAGCUGAGGAAGUUCUGGAGGCAGUUCCUAAAGUUCAUCAAUAGGAGGAAGAGGAGAAAGGGCAUGUGGUUGCCUCUACCAAACGACCAGCUCCCAAGUACAGCCAAGGUGCACAGACGUCGAGGUCAGAGGUGCCCUAGCAUCUACAGUGGCCCCAUCUCUGUGCUGCACCUGAACCAGACAGAGGACCAAGACACUAAGGAAGAGGCUAGACCAGGACACACAGCUGGAACAAAGACACAUUCACAGACCAAGACACAGCAAGCGACUGGACAGGAAGGGUCUGACAAGGAUGUGAACCAGAAUGGACAUGGAGAUGUCUCUACCUCGAGGAACCCAAAAGCCAGUCUGAAAAGAGACACCAUUCCACAGACAACCAGCCAUCCAAGCAGAAGCAAGAACAGAUGCAGCCGCAGGAACCAAUGAAGUGCAAACAACCACCGCCUGUGCUUCCAUCAAAGGGAUAUUUAUUGCUAUCUUUUUAUUUAAAAGAAACUCAUGCAGUUUACUGCAAACAAACUCUUUCUCUUUGUGAUCCUUUUUAUAUGAACAUAUUUAAAAAAUUAUUCAGAAAUAUCACAUGUAUUGUUAUCAAAUUAAGUAAAUAAAAAUCACAAAAAUAA
ensembl:lncRNA